CAGUAGCCGCGGGAAUACAGAGGGUGCGAGCGUUAAUCGGAUUUACUGGGCGUAAAGCGUGCGUAGGCGGCUUCUUAAGUCGGAUGUGAAAUCCCUGAGCUUAACUUAGGAAUUGCAUUCGAUACUGGGAAGCUAGAGUAUGGGAGAGGAUGGUAGAAUUCCAGGUGUAGCGGUGAAAUGCGUAGAGAUCUGGAGGAAUACCGAUGGCGAAGGCAGCCAUCUGGCCUAAUACUGACGCUGAGGUACGAAAGCAUGGGGAGCAAACAGGAUUAGAUACCCGAGUAGUCCCUGUCUCUUAUCA
rnacentral:rRNA from 1 species